UAGGGAAUCUUCCACAAUGGACGCAAGUCUGAUGGAGCAACGCCGCGUGAGUGAAGAAGGUCUUCGGAUCGUAAAGCUCUGUUGUUGGUGAAGAAGGAUAGAGGCAGUAACUGGUCUUUAUUUGACGGUAAUCAACCAGAAAGUCACGGCUAACUACGUGCCAGCAGCCGCGGUAAUACGUAGGUGGCAAGCGUUGUCCGGAUUUAUUGGGCGUAAAGCGAGCGCAGGCGGAAUGAUAAGUCUGAUGUGAAAGCCCACGGCUCAACCGUGGAACUGCAUCGGAAACUGUCAUUCUUGAGUGCAGAAGAGGAGAGUGGAACUCCAUGUGUAGCGGUGGAAUGCGUAGAUAUAUGGAAGAACACCAGUGGCGAAGGCGGCUCUCUGGUCUGCAACUGACGCUGAGGCUCGAAAGCAUGGGUAGCGAACAGGAUUAGAUACCCUGGUAGUCCAUGCCGUAAACGAUGAGCGCUAGGUGUUGGGGACUUUCCGGUCCUCAGUGCCGCAGCAAACGCAUUA
rnacentral:rRNA from 1 species